rnacentral:rRNA from 1 species
AUGAUGACUAAGCCGCACUCGGUGCUUCCUAGGGCCAGUGUGUUUGAUCAAGACUCAUUCCGUAAAAUGAUAAUCCAUGCUACUGAUGUUGGGAAGUCUACCUCAUCUUACGCGAGUGCUCCGAUACAAUACUACUCCCUUGUGUGCUAUGCUCGUUCCAAGCAUGGUGAGGUGGAGAAGUCAGACUCUAGGCACACCGCAAAGUCGCCACAGCGGCCAGCUACGUCCUGUGCUGGUAGCUCUGCCAAGUCCAGUCGCAAAGACCUACCCAGCCCAUCUCAUGCACCCCAUUUGAUUCACGAGAUGAUGCCGACCACAAUACGCAUGCUUGGACCUUAUGAUUUCUUGAAUCACCUAAACAGGCAGUACCCUCACCUGGCUAGUGAUGAGAUGACAGUCCUACUGUAG